GCUUGGCGUGGUUGCGCAUGCCUGUAAUCCCAGCUACUUGGGAGGCUGAGGCAGGAGAGUCACUUGAACCCAGGGGGGUGGAGUUUGCAGUGAGCCAAGAUUGUGCCACUGCACUCUAUCCUGGGUGACAGAGUGAGACUCUGUCUCCC
rnacentral:SRP_RNA from 2 species